rnacentral:tRNA from 1 species
GAGGGUAUAGCUCAAGCGGUAGAGUGCAUGCUUGGCAUGCACGAGGUCCUGGGUUCAACCCCCAGUACCUCCU